UACAGGUUGGAUUACGUUUAGUAUACAUAAAUAGGCAUUAAGAGUGAUUAGGUGAUAAAAAGAUUAGAGUUAAAGGAAAAGAUAGUAGGAAUAGUCCUAGUAGAGAUAAAAUCCAUAAAUCAGGACUGGAACAUCGAAGGCGACAGCAUCAUUCUACCUUAUAACUGACACUGAUUCACUAAAGCACAGGUAGCGAAACGG
rnacentral:rRNA from 1 species